rnacentral:tRNA from 1 species
GCCCCCGUAGCUCAACUGGAUAGAGCGUCGGCCUCCGAAGCCGAAGGUUAGUGGUUCGAAUCCACUCGGGGGUACC